CAACGGAAAGGAUGGCCAAACUGUGGUCUCUGUCAGAUUUGCAAAAGGGAACCAGAGACGGCAGCGCAGACCAUCUUCUAGUGUCGAUGCACGAUGCACAUUUGGAUGGAGAUAAAAAAUUGGAUGAGAUUGACCAAUCUGGAUAUCACUAUCUGGAGAAACUUUCACACCGUGAUAGAGUGGUGGCACCACAUGGUGGGCGUCAAUGCCAACGUGAGAAAGGGCCUUGCAACCCUCGUCAUGUUUGUCUCUUGGGAGAUUUGAAACAAGCGGAACACGCGGGUGUUUAGAAAUGUGUCAUCCUUGACAACUAUAAUCACAUCUAAGAUUAAGACCAAUGCUGGGUUAUUGGGGAUGGUGGGGGCUAAGCGUCUAUGUUCUUUAAUGUCGCAAGAGUAG
rnacentral:rRNA from 1 species